rnacentral:rRNA from 1 species
AACGAGAACCCUUGGAUUCGUCUGGGGGGGAGAGUGGCGAACUGGUGAGUAACACGUGGGUGACCUGCCCCGAAGACGGGGAUAACCGUUGGAAACGACGGCUAAUACCCAGAUAUACUCGGUGAUUCGGUUCAUCGAGUAAAGGCUCCGGUGCUUCGGGAUGGGCCUGCGGCCUAUCAGCUAGUUGGUGGGGUAAUGGCCCACCAAGGCGAAGACGGGUAGGGGGCGUGAGAGCGCGGNCCCCCACACUGUCACUGAGAUACGGGCCAGACUUCUACGGAAGGCAGCAGUCGGGGAUAUUGCACAAUCGGCGAAAGCCGGAUGCAGCGACGCCGCGUGGGCGAUGAAGGCCUUCGGGUUGUAAAGCCCUUUUAUGGGGGACGAGACCAGGACGGUACCCCAGGAAUAAGCGUCGGCUAACUACGUGCCAGCAGGCGCGUGUAAAACGUAGGACGCAAGCGUUAUCCGGAUUUACUGGGCGUAAAGAGCGUUGAGGCGGUUCCGUAAGUUGGGCGUGACAGCCCCGGGCUUAAACCGGGGAGGUCGUUCAAUACUGCGGGACUUGAGGGCAGCAGAGGGAGGCGGCAUUCCACGCUGUAGCGGUGAAAUGCGUAGAUGUCGGGAGGAACACCAGUGGCGAAGCGCGGACUCCUGGGCUUGUUCCUGACGCUGAAGACGAAAGAUAGGGGAGCGAACGGGGAUUAGAAACCCCGGUAGUCCUAGCCGUUAAACGCUGGCUUGCUGGGUGUGGCCGGUAUAGAUCCCCUCCGUGCAGAAGCUAACGCGUUAAGCAUCCCGCCUGGGGAUUACAGGCCGCAAGGCUUAAACUCAAACGAAUUGACGGGGGCCCGAACAAGCAGCGGAGCAGUGUGAUUUAAUUCGAUGCUACACGAAGAACCAUUACCGGGGCUUGACAUGUAGGUAGUAGUGAAGCGAAGGCGGAACGACCCUUCGGGGAGCAUACACAGUUGCAUAGCAUGGCCGUCGUCAGUUCGUGCCGUGAGCUGUCGGGUUGAGCUCCCGUAACGAACGCAACCGUUGCCGUUAGACACAUGUGUCUAAGGGGACUGCCCGAGACAACUGGGAGGAAGGUGGGGACGACGUCAAGUCAGCAUGG